rnacentral:ncRNA from 1 species
AAAAAUACUGUGAUUAGGAAUAGUAAGCUGUCUGAAUCAAACAGAGAGCCGGCGGGUGGUGGAAGCCGGUUGGGGAUGGCAGCCGAACUGGCCUUUGAGUAGCGUGCUGAAGGAAGCUCUGCUUUCUGUGUAGGCAUUGCCGGUAUCCCGACCGUUAAAGCGGGCGGAUAUGUUUUUUCAUAUCCAGUGAGAGCAUACAAAACUGUAUGAAAUAGAGUGGUACCACGCGGUAGAUCCUGCGUCUCUAUG